UAGAAUAUUCAAAUAUUUAUACACACAACUUCAUGUACUUGUCGAUAACGUUAGCACAAAAGAAAGUUAUUCAAUGCUUUCGUUAUUUUCACGGAAUAUAUUGAAACCGAGCCGAUAUCAAACUGAAAAAGCUGGGUAUAACCGAAACCAAAACUUCCCUGGCUUCACACUCGAUGUUGAUGGUAGUGGCGAUACGCGAAAUUAGCAAAAAAAAAAAAAAGUAUGGCGUCGUAUCCUCCGUGCUUUCGUCUGUGAACGGUGCCAUAAUAUACGUCCAGAUUCGAAUACUAUAAUAAUUCAACAACUCUAUUUAUUAUAUUUAGUGCCAGCGCGCGCGCCUCAAUCCCAACUUUCACAUCCAAUCGCACAGCUCUCUAUGCGGGCUUUCUAGCCACAUUUACCGGGCAUUCCCCUUGAAGAUGGCGCCAGCAUUCGCGCAUCUGGGAAAAUAUUGACCACUCUUUUGUAGGAUUUCCGAGGGCACGUGCUGAAUGACCCGACGAAAGACUUGGCAGUGGAUAUAGCGAAGCAUCCUUAGAGAGGCAAACCAGACUCCUACAAGCUGGCCUGGCGCUCAAGUUUCUCGACUCACCGGCUCGUUAAUAGCAACCGACGCGAGCUGUGCCAGUAGUCCCACUCUUCGCGACUGCAACCUCGCAUCAUCUCGAGCAACAAAGCUUCAUCGACUUCAUUGCUGCAGACAAGAAGCUAUCGUUUCGGGCAUCCGGUGACCUGCGGACUGUCGUGAAGCAAAUAAACCCAUUCUGCACUCGCGUA
rnacentral:lncRNA from 1 species